rnacentral:rRNA from 1 species
CGGGGCAGGGUAAGUCGACCCCUAAGGCGAGGCCGAAAGGCGUAGUCGAUGGGAAACGGGUUAAUAUUCCCGUACUUCUUACAAUUGCGAUGGGGGGACGGAGAAGGCUAGAUGGGCCUGGCGACGGUUGUCCAGGUUCAAGUGCGUAGGCUGAAGAGUUAGGUAAAUCCGGCUCUUCUUAAGGCUGAGACACGACGUCGAGCUACUACGGUAGUGAAGUCAUUGAUGCCAUGCUUCCAGGAAAAGCCUCUAAGCUUCAGAUUGUAAGGAAUCGUACCCCAAACCGACACAGGUGGUCGGGUAGAGAAUACCAAGGCGCUUGAG